CAUGGAUGACUUUGUUGAAAAGUUAAUGUGAGAGGAAAGGCUAAAGGUGUCAAGUCAGGAGAAGGAAUUGAAGUUGAGAUAUAUGACAACAGGAUUAUAAUACCAAAAGCCAUUAGUGAAAUACAUGUUCUCUUCCAUCAAAAAAUUAACGGUCCAUGGACAUCUUAUUUUGAAUAUCCGAAAUCAGAGCUAGAUACUCUUUUUGCUCGAUAUUUGGCCGUGGGGUUCUCACAUAAUCAACUAGAAGAAGAAGUGAAAAAAGCAUUUGAGAAUUCAGUUAAAUGUCGAUACUCUGAUUGGAUGUUGCGUAUAAGGAAACCAAUUUUUGAGAAGCAUGAAACCCGAGAAGAUCGUUACAAACACCCACCUUCUUUCAUUCCUUCUAAUGUGUGGAAAGAAAUGGUAGACAAAUGGAUGGGAGAUAAUUGGCAGCACAAAAGUGAUAAGAAUAAAAUUAAUCUAUCACAAUGUUACAGGAGAGCCUAGUCAUGGUCGUGUUCUUGGAUUAGGUACGGGUAUUCAAGGGAAAGAUGUGUAUGGUAGUAGUUCCUAUCAAACAUGUAGCAAAAGAUGCAAAGAAAUUCAAAAGAUGAAGGAAAAAGAAUGGGAGGACCGUUUCAAGCAAAUGGAGUCUACAAUUGAUAAAUUGCAACAACAAGUACCCGUUAUGAUUCAAGCGGUGUUGCAAA